rnacentral:rRNA from 1 species
AUUGAACGCUGGCGGCAGGCCUAACACAUGCAAGUCGAACGGUAGCACAGAGAGCUUGCUCUCGGGUGACGAGUGGCGGACGGGUGAGUAAUGUCUGGGAAACUGCCUGAUGGAGGGAGAUAACUACUGGAAACGGUAGCUAAUACCGCAUAACGUCGCAAGACCAAAGAGGGGGACCUUCGGGCCUCUUGCCAUCAGAUGUGCCCAGAUGGGAUUAGCUAGUAGGUGGGGUAGCGGCUCACCUAGGCGACGAUCCCUAGCUGGUCUGAGAGGAUGACCAGCCACACUGGAACUGAGACACGGUCCAGACUCCUACGGGAGGCAGCAGUGGGGAAUAUUGCACAAUGGGCGCAAGCCUGAUGCAGCCAUGCCGCGUGUAUGAAGAAGGCCUUCGGGUUGUAAAGUACUUUCAGCGGGGAGGAAGGUGAUAAGGUUAAUAACCUUGUCGAUUGACGUUACCCGCAGAAGAAGCACCGGCUAACUCCGUGCCAGCAGCCGCGGUAACAC